rnacentral:rRNA from 1 species
UUAAUACCGAAUACGAUCUACGGAUGAAAGCGGGGGACCUUCGGGCCUCGCGCUAUAGGGUUGGCCGAUGGCUGAUUAGCUAGUUGGUGGGGUAAAGGCCUACCAAGGCGACGAUCAGUAGCUGGUCUGAGAGGACGACCAGCCACACUGGGACUGAGACACGGACCAGACUCCUACAGGAGGCAGCAGUGGGGAAUUUUGGACAAUGGGCGAAAGCCUGAUCCAGCAAUGCCGCGUGUGUGAAGAAGGCCUUCGGGUUGUAAAGCACUUUUGUCCGGAAAGAAAUCCCUGGCUCUAAUACAGUCGGGGGAUGACGGUACCGGAAGAAUAAGCCCCGGCUAACUACGUGCCAGCAGCCGCGGUAAUACGUAGGGUGCGAGCGUUAAUCGGAAUUACUGGGCGUAAAGCGUGCGCAGGCGGUCUGUUAAGACAGAUGUGAAAUCCCCGGGCUCAACCUGGGAACUGCAUUUGUGACUGGCAGGCUAGAGUAUGGCAGAGGGGGGUAGAAUUCCACGUGUAGCAGUGAAAUGCGUAAAGAUGUGGAGGAAUACCGAUGGCGAAGGCAGCCCCCUGGGCCAAUACUGACGCUCAUGCACUAAAGCGUGGGGAGCAAACAGGAUUAGAUACCCUGGUAGUCCACGCCCUCAACGAUGUCAACUAGUUGUUGGGGAUUCAUUUCCUUAGUAACGUAGCUAACGCGUGAAGUUGACCGCCUGGGGAGUACGGUCGCAAGAUUAAAACUCAAAGGAAUUGACGGGGACCCGCACAAGCGGUGGAUGAUGUGGAUUAAUUCGAUGCAACGCGAAAAACCUUACCUACCCUUGACAUGGUCGGAAUCCUGAAGAGAUUCGGGAGUGCUCGAAAGAGAACCGGCGCACAGGUGCUGCAUGGCUGUCGUCAGCUCGUGUCGUGAGAUGUUGGGUUAAGUCCCGCAACGAGCGCAACCCUUGUCCUUAGUUGCUACGCAAGAGCACUCUAAGGAGACUGCCGGUGACAAACCGGAGGAAGGUGGGGAUGACGUCAAGUCCUCAUGGCCCUUAUGGGUAGGGCUUCACACGUCAUACAAUGGUCGGAACAGAGGGUUGCCAACCCGCGAGGGGGAGCUAAUCCCAGAAAACCGAUCGUAGUCCGGAUUGCACUCUGCAACUCGAGUGCAUGAAGCUGGAAUCGCUAGUAAUCGCGGAUCAGCAUGCCGCGGUGAAUACG